rnacentral:sRNA from 1 species
AUCAACUUUCGAUGGUAGGAUAGAGGCCUACCAUGGUGGUAACGGGUAACGGGGUGUUAGGGCACGACACCGGAGAGGGAGCCUGAGAAACGGCUACCACAUCCAAGGAUGGCAGCAGGCGCGCAAAUUACCCAAUCCCGACACGGGGAGGUAGUGACAAUAAAUAACAAUACGGGGUUCUUUUGGAUUUCGUAAUUGGAAUGAGUACAAUUUAAAUCUCUUAACGAGGAACAAUUGGAGGGCAAGUCUGGUGCCAGCAGCCGCGGUAAUUCCAGCUCCAAUAGCGUAUAUUAAAGUUGUUGCAGUUAAAAAGCUCGUAGUUGAAUUUCGGGGUUAGUAGGUUGGUCGUGCCUUUGGUAUGCACUGGCUUCACUGAUUCCUCCUUCUUGAAGAACUGUAAUGCCAUUAAUUUGGUGUUGCAGGGACACAGGACUGUUACUUUGAAAAAAUUAGAGUGUUUAAAGCAGGCUAACGCCUGAAUACAUUAGCAUGGAAUAAUGAAAUAGGACGUUUGAUCCUAUUUUGUUGGUUUCUAGGAUUGACGUAAUGAUUAAUAGGGAUAGUUGGGGGCAUUAGUAUUCAAUUGUCAGAGGUGAAAUCCUUGGAUUUAUUGAAGACUGACUACUGCGAAAGCAUUUGCCAAGGAUGUUUUCAUUAAUCAAGAACGAAAGUUAGGGGAUCGAAGACGAUCAGAUACCGUCGUAGUCUUAACCAUAAACUAUGCCGACUAGGGAU